GUUAUCAUGGCUUUUAGCCAUACUUACUGCAUACAUGGUUGACCUUUCGUAUUUCACGUCUCAUGGUAUGACGAUCCGAGACACUACAGUGUCCAGUGCCUACGACCUGUUAUCCAGUUUAGUCAGCCUGUCGUAGGUUACUUGGGCAGUGUAAUUUAUUGAAAUAAAUUAAGACUAUUAGUAAUUGAAAUAUUAAAAAUUAAAUAAAUGAGUUAAUAAGACUCCAAAAGAAUUAGUUACAAUUAUGAAAUGAUUUAAACCACAUAAAAAUUGUUAAGUAAAAAUGAUAAAAGAGUUGCAAAAAUAGGUAUAACUUAACUAAAUAUUUUAAAUGUACCUUCUAUUGCCAUAUGAAUAUAAAUUGAGUAUUUUCAUUAAUUCUGUAUAUUGUAUAUUAUCACUGUGAAUUUCGAAAUUAAACGCUUCCAAAGCGAAACAAAUGAGAACAAAAGAUAAUUAAUAUUAGACACAUUGUAUUAAAUUAAAUUGAUUAUUAACUAUUCAAAUUAUGCUUCGUUCUUUCUUUAUUUGUAUAUUUUAUUUUCUUGUUCUAUUAUUGCACCACUAAGCAGCAAUGCUUAGCGCGAUGGAAUUGUUUCCUUCGCGCAG
rnacentral:misc_RNA from 1 species